rnacentral:lncRNA from 1 species
UCACUCCAGCGCCUUGAAUGCUGACGUCAGCUCCACCUCUCCCCGUAAUCAGAAAAUCAGGGUUACCCAGAGGAAGAAGCAUCU